UCACUUUAGUUGCCAUCAUUAAGUUGGGCACUCUGAAAGAACUGCCAGUGAUAAGCUGGACCAAGGUGGGGACGACGUCAAGUCCUCAUGGCCCUUACGUGUUGGGCUACACACGUGCUACAAUGGCAUCUACAACAGGAAGCAAAACGGCAACGUUAAGCAAAUCCCGAAAAGAUGCCUCAGUUCGGAUUGUACUCUGCAACUCGAGUGCAUGAAGCUGGAAUUACUAGUAAUCGUGGAUCAGCGUGCCACGGUGAAUGCGUUC
rnacentral:rRNA from 1 species